rnacentral:lncRNA from 1 species
UUUUUUUUGGUAGUUGGGAUUGAAUCCAGGGGCACUUAACCACCACAUCCCCAGUCCUUUUUUAUGUUUUGUUUAGGGACAGGCUCUUGCUAAGAUGCUUAGGGCCUCCCUAAGUUGCUGAGACUGGUUUUGAACUCAUGAUCCUCCUGCCUGGUCCUCCUGAGCAGCUGGGAUUACAGGCAUGUGCCUCCACACCAGACAAGUUGGUGACAUCUUUCAGCCAGAAACAUUGCCCAAGAAAGAGAUCAUCAAGUUUGCUAAGAAGCAAAUGAUUCUGUUACAGAAAGGGUGUUAUCAGGGUGACCGGGCACAGCUUUGCAUUCCUGGAGUCCCAGUCACUCUGGAGACUGACAAAGAAGGAUCACUUGAGCCUAGGAAUUUGAGAACAGCCUGGGCAACUUAGUGACACCCUGUGUCAAAUUUGAAAUAAUAAUUAUAAUGAGGAUAAGUGAGGAAAGAGAGGAAGGAGGAAGUAACUACUAUUUGGGCUGAAACAGAGUUGGCCAUGUGAUGAUAAUUGCUAAAGCAAGAUGAUGGGUACAUAGAGAUUAAUCAUACCAUUUUCUUCUACUAUUUUAUUUCUUCUACUAUUUUAUUUAUUCCAUAAAUAAAAAAGGAAAAGAGAAGGUAAUAUCAUUGUAUAGGUCAAGUUAAUAUUUCUCUAAGUGUCUCUUUCUUAAACAUGUUCUAGUUUAUUGGUUUUGGAGGGUCUUUUUAGAAUGUGUUUAUCCAUUUAGUAUUUUUCAUUUCUGGACUGAAAUCUUUUAAAAUUAUUUAUAAUUGGAAAAAGAAAUUUAAAAACUUAAAACUGUUGCUGGAGAAAGUGAUGAUAUUAUUAUGGUAAUGAAACAGUUGUGAAUAUUGCUUUAAUUUUUCUUUGCUUAGGGGAAGUAUCAUAUGAUAAAUAGAAUUUCCCUGAGGGCUGUCAAUUUACUAGAGACUACCUGGCUUCUGUUCUGUUCUUCUGCUUCCUCUCUGCCCUUGAUUAAGUUUUUACCACUCCAGGUAACUGUAAAAAAAAUUAAAACGAGGUUAAUGGCCUCUAAAUGUCUUUCUAUGUGAAAUGAACAUUCUUUCCCCUCUUCCUCUCACAAUCUCCCUUAUUAUAGAGGAGUCAAGUUGAAAUGUUAAAGACACAAAGUUGCACACCCAAACAUAUAGUAAGAGUCCUUAAGGAAAGUUAUAAAAGAUGGCCAUUCCAUGAAAUCUGGAAAUCUUAAGUCUUUUUCCCAUUCUUCCCUGUCCCUCUCAGAGAAGUUGAGCAUGCUCAGAACUUUAGUGACCUGUAGAUAAUAUAAUCUGCACCUACAUCUCCAUCCCUAGAUGUGACUACUGACCAAGAUCUGACCGUUCUAUCUCCUGCCUGGGGAAAAAAAUCCUUACACAUUUCACUUGUCAUCUUCUCAAACUGAAAAUGACCAAACCCCCUCCUCUGGGUGAGUCCACAACACCACUGGGUCUUGUGCCUUUUGGCUUCAGAGCUGCUUGAACUUUCCUUUUGCCUUUAUCUUCCACCUGUAUCCGUUAUAAGACCCGUGGUCGCAUCACUGUAUCCCUCCGUACGACCUCUCUCUCUCUCCAUUUCUCUGUCUCCUGCCUCAUGAAGCCUCUGUCACCUGUUUUCAUCCACUUGUUUGGUCUGCUUGUUUCCUAGGUCUGUCGCACCAUUUCCUGUGAACUGGCCUUUGGUGAUGUUCUUCUAAACUUCUCCACUGCUUUCCUGCAUCACCCCUGCCUCCUCCCAUUUGAUAUAGUGUCUCAUCAUUGCUUUCUGGUUUGUCUGUCUCAUGUGAGUAAAGCACAUCCUUCAGUGGCUUCCUAGCAAUCAGUAUGUAGGAGGUAAAUUAUUACCUUGUUUAGUAUUUAUAAUGCCUUUAUUCUAUUGUUUGAGUGUGGCUCUAAGUUGAUAUAGAAGUCUGAAGUUUUCUACAUGUGUUUUGAUUUUGUUUUGUCAAGCAGUAUAGUUUCUAUUGUUGGAAUACUUUCACAUAAAUGUCCAGAGGAGGGCAGUCCUAGAGCUAGUUUGGUCUCCCAGUGGUGUCCUGAGGACACAGACUUCCCUUCUUUUCUUGUUUCUGCAUCUUCAUCCUGUCAAUCUGGGAGACCAGGGAUCUUAAGUUUUAGUUUUAUAGUGUUAUUCAGAGGGCGGGCAAAGAAGAAACAGUUGACCCUAGAGGUUGAAGGAAACAGUCUGCAGAAUAUGCCACAAGACUUUUGGGAAUGCUGUAUAGAAUUUCAUUUUCAUUUUCUCUAAGAAAUGUCAUUGGCUUCUGAUUUUUCUACCACUGUACUGAAAUUUCUAUUUAGUGAUUUAAAUGUUUAAUUUUAAAGAGCUCAUUAUUGUUUUUAAAUU